rnacentral:ncRNA from 1 species
UCGUACCACUAGGGGUGCACAGGUUGUGCUGUGCUGAGAGGAACAAGUCGGUUCCAACCCUUUGAACUUGAACUGGGUAAUGCCAGCGAAAGGAAGUGGGGAAGAUCGUGA